rnacentral:rRNA from 1 species
UUAAGCGACUAAGCGUACACGGUGGAUGCCCUGGCAGUCAGAGGCGAUGAAGGACGUGCUAAUCUGCGAUAAGCGUCGGUAAGGUGAUAUGAACCGUUAUAACCGGCGAUUUCCGAAUGGGGAAACCCAGUGUGAUUCGUCACACUAUCAUUAACUGAAUCCAUAGGUUAAUGAGGCGAACCGGGGGAACUGAAACAUCUAAGUACCCCGAGGAAAAGAAAUCAACCGAGAUUCCCCCAGUAGCGGCGAGCGAACGGGGAGCAGCCCAGAGCCUGAAUCAGUGUGUGUGUUAGUGGAAGCGUCUGGAAAGGCGCGCGAUACAGGGUGACAGCCCCGUACACAAAAAUGCACAUGCUGUGAGCUCGAUGAGUAGGGCGGGACACGUGGUAUCCUGUCUGAAUAUGGGGGGACCAUCCUCCAAGGCUAAAUACUCCUGACUGACCGAUAGUGAACCAGUACCGUGAGGGAAAGGCGAAAAGAACCCCGGCGAGGGGAGUGAAAAAGAACCUGAAACCGUGUACGUACAAGCAGUGGGAGCACGCUUAGGCGUGUGACUGCGUACCUUUUGUAUAAUGGGUCAGCGACUUAUAUUCUGUAGCAAGGUUAACCGAAUAGGGGAGCCGAAGGGAAACCGAGUCUUAACUGGGCGUUAAGUUGCAGGGUAUAGACCCGAAACCCGGUGAUCUAGCCAUGGGCAGGUUGAAGGUUGGGUAACACUAACUGGAGGACCGAACCGACUAAUGUUGAAAAAUUAGCGGAUGACUUGUGGCUGGGGGUGAAAGGCCAAUCAAACCGGGAGAUAGCUGGUUCUCCCCGAAAGCUAUUUAGGUAGCGCCUCGUGAAUUCAUCUCCGGGGGUAGAGCACUGUUUCGGCAAGGGGGUCAUCCCGACUUACCAACCCGAUGCAAACUGCGAAUACCGGAGAAUGUUAUCACGGGAGACACACGGCGGGUGCUAACGUCCGUCGUGAAGAGGGAAACAACCCAGACCGCCAGCUAAGGUCCCAAAGUCAUGGUUAAGUGGGAAACGAUGUGGGAAGGCCCAGACAGCCAGGAUGUUGGCUUAGAAGCAGCCAUCAUUUAAAGAAAGCGUAAUAGCUCACUGGUCGAGUCGGCCUGCGCGGAAGAUGUAACGGGGCUAAACCAUGCACCGAAGCUGCGGCAGCGACGCUUAUGCGUUGUUGGGUAGGGGAGCGUUCUGUAAGCCUGUGAAGGUGUACUGUGAGGUAUGCUGGAGGUAUCAGAAGUGCGAAUGCUGACAUAAGUAACGAUAAAGCGGGUGAAAAGCCCGCUCGCCGGAAGACCAAGGGUUCCUGUCCAACGUUAAUCGGGGCAGGGUGAGUCGACCCCUAAGGCGAGGCCGAAAGGCGUAGUCGAUGGGAAACAGGUUAAUAUUCCUGUACUUGGUGUUACUGCGAAGGGGGGACGGAGAAGGCUAUGUUGGCCGGGCGACGGUUGUCCCGGUUUAAGCGUGUAGGCUGGUUUUCCAGGCAAAUCCGGAAAAUCAAGGCUGAGGCGUGAUGACGAGGCACUACGGUGCUGAAGCAACAAAUGCCCUGCUUCCAGGAAAAGCCUCUAAGCAUCAGGUAACAUCAAAUCGUACCCCAAACCGACACAGGUGGUCAGGUAGAGAAUACCAAGGCGCUUGAGAGAACUCGGGUGAAGGAACUAGGCAAAAUGGUGCCGUAACUUCGGGAGAAGGCACGCUGAUAUGUAGGUGAAGCGACUUGCUCGUGGAGCUGAAAUCAGUCGAAGAUACCAGCUGGCUGCAACUGUUUAUUAAAAACACAGCACUGUGCAAACACGAAAGUGGACGUAUACGGUGUGACGCCUGCCCGGUGCCGGAAGGUUAAUUGAUGGGGUCAGCGCAAGCGAAGCUCUUGAUCGAAGCCCCGGUAAACGGCGGCCGUAACUAUAACGGUCCUAAGGUAGCGAAAUUCCUUGUCGGGUAAGUUCCGACCUGCACGAAUGGCGUAAUGAUGGCCAGGCUGUCUCCACCCGAGACUCAGUGAAAUUGAACUCGCUGUGAAGAUGCAGUGUACCCGCGGCAAGACGGAAAGACCCCGUGAACCUUUACUAUAGCUUGACACUGAACAUUGAGCCUUGAUGUGUAGGAUAGGUGGGAGGCUUUGAAGUGUGGACGCCAGUCUGCAUGGAGCCGACCUUGAAAUACCACCCUUUAAUGUUUGAUGUUCUAACGU